rnacentral:lncRNA from 1 species
UUUGGCCAGGCAGGGCCAGGCUGGGACAUCCCUCCAGCAGUAACUCCAGGGAUGUCAAAAGGACUUCACUAGCCCUUGCCAUGCAAAUGGGGUCCCUCCACUGGAAUGUGAUUCUUCCCUACAGUGAGCUCACCGGCCAGGCUGCCUGCAUCCCACACCUUACAGUACCUGCCAGCGAUCGCUAGACACUGUGAGGGACGUCCGUGAGUAUCAAGCCAGGCAGACGUGCCUGGACGGUGUCUCUGCCACACUGCCCCACGCCCUGGUUAGAGAAGCCCUGGGAAGUUCCCCUGGGGCACUGCCUCGAGCAGAGGGUGACAAAGCUGGGACCUUCCUGGAGGCAGACAGCUCUGCUGGAGCUGGACGGAUGCUACAGCCCAAACCGUCGUCCUGCCAUGGCCAAGUGAGCACUGGAGGGAUGGAGGCAGCCUUCUCCCCGGCACCCCCAUUCAUC